AACAAAUUCAGCAGAGUGUUAGUAACCAAAUAACUGUUAAACGUGUAGUUUGGGAACGAGGAAUACCUUUACAAAUACAGAAAUGUCUGGACCCGGUGAAAGAAAAGAACAGAAACCCUACAGGCCACCACCAUACGAGAGGCCAUAUGGACCACCAGACAAUCCUAAGGACCGACCAAGAGCAUAAGAAUAGAUAUAUUAUAGGUUUAAACUGCAGUUUUAUAAUUUAUGAACUUAACGAAGGAAAGAAGUCAUUAAAAUGUGAAAAGGACUCAAUAAAGCUUGAACAAAAUCAGAAGGGAAUUAAAGCAGUAGAUUCAUUGAGUAAAGAUAAUCUUUACUUGCGUGAGAAAGGAAAAAUGUGAAACUCAUUCACUUGAAAAAUCUGAAGAAGACUGAUAUACGCUGUGCGGUAUAAAAGUCCCUGAAGAGAAAAAACAGAUUUGAAGAAAAAUGUUUGAAUAAAAUGGAAGAGAUGCAGAGGAAAAUAAUGUGAUCCAAUUUGGACCAUAUUUAAUUGAUCAUAGAGUCUUGAUUCAUAUAUUUUGCACAUUGACCUCAAAAUCGUCAACAGAAAAUGAAUAAUAUUUUUAAAAUCAAUUUCAACCUCUUCUACAACUACGCUUUCAAAAGAACUUUUUUCGAGAAAUUACAAAAUGAAACGUAAUGCUAUUUUACUACAAAGAAAAAUUGAUUCAUCUCCACCAAUGUUUGGAAAAACACUCACACAUGGAAACUUUGGGAAAUUCCUUGAGAUAAGUGCAAGAUGUAUAAAUAUUUUAUUACAAUCAAUCUAUCUAUGACAAUAAGAUAUGUAUCGAUGAUUGCUAUGUAUGUCCUUAUUUGGAAUGGAAAACAGAAUAAUUUUCGUAUAAUUUUCAUAAAUUGUAAAACUGGUUAGGCUAAGAUUUCAAAUUAAUGAUCAUAAAAUUAAUUGUAAAUAUAUUUAAGGAUUAAUUUGUAGAAUCUCUAAUAAAUUAUUAUAUUUAUAUAACAUUA